rnacentral:rRNA from 1 species
UACGUAGGGUGCGAGCGUUGUCCGGAAUUAUUGGGCGUAAAGAGCUCGUAGGCGGCUUGUCGCGUCGGAUGUGAAAGCCCGGGGCUUAACCCCGGUCUGCAUUCGAUACGGGCAGGCUAGAGUGUGGUAGGGGAGAUCGGAAUUCCUGGUGUAGCGGUGAAAUGCGCAGAUAUCAGGAGGAACACCGGUGGCGAAGGCGGAUCUCUGGGCCAUUACUGACGCUGAGGAGCGAAAGCGUGGGGAGCGAACAGG